CCAUUUAAAAAGUGUCCUCGAUACUAUUUGAAGUAUCUUUAAAAUUGUUACGAGUCCCCAGAGUCACAAAUAGAUAAUGAACUAUUUUGGUAUAGUUACAAACCCAUAGUAACCUGUAUAAACGAAGAUAUUCAUUUAAAACUUAUCCUAUAGCUGAUGACUUUCCUUUUCCUACACUAUACUAUAAAUGAUUUUCCAAGAUGGUCAAAUAAUUUUGUGACCGAUUUGUAACUAGUGUAUCCGUCGACACGAAAUAAUUUUCUUUGUUUUGUAACCACUUUCAUUAUUAAGGGGAAAUAGUCACUGGUUACUAUUAACUAAUAUGUUUUGGUAUAUGUCAGUUGUACAUUUUUUAUCUGUGGUGCUGUAUGUUAUUUACAUAUUAAGAAAUUUUACAUGCAUUACUGAAGCGACUGGUGCCAUAUACGAAAUCUACUAAUAGAAUAUUGUGAAUAAUUUUGAAAUACCCGAUCGUUGAAAGGUACAAUAUUCACUGAAUUCAAACAGUUAAGUACAUAAGUUU